AGCAGCCGCGGUAAUUCCAGCUCCAAUAGCGUAUAUUAAAGUUGUUGCAGUUAAAAAGCUCGUAGUUGAAUUUCGGGGUUCUACCGUUGGUCGGGCUUUGUCUGUACUGGCGUGUAGAAUUUCUACCUUCUGGGGAACCAUCAUGUUAUUAAUUUAACGUGGUGGGAAACCAGGACCUUUACCAUGAAAAAAUUAGAGUGUUCAAAGCAGGCUUAUGUCUGAAUACAUUAGCAUGGAAUAAUAAAAUAGGACGGUGGUCCUGUUUUGUUGGUUUCUGAAUCACCGUAAUGAUUAAUAGGGAUAGUUGGGGGCAUUAGUAUUCAAUUGUCAGAGGUGAAAUUC
rnacentral:rRNA from 1 species